rnacentral:rRNA from 1 species
AGCUCCAAUAGCGUAUAUUAAAGUUGUUGCAGUUAAAAAGCUCGUAGUUGGAUUUGUGGUCUGCGGUGUGUUCCGGGCACUUGCUGUCUGAGUAACCUGCUAUUACCAUCCUUGGGUGGAACCUGUGUGGCAUUACUAGGUUGUCGAGCAGGGGAUGCCCAUCAUUUACUGUGAAAAAAUUAGAGUGUUCAAAGCAGGCUUAUGCCAUUGAAUAUAUUAGCAUGGAAUAAUGAGAUAGGACUUUUUUGCUAUUUUGUUGGUUUGCGCAAAGAGGUAAUGAUUAAUAGGGACAGUUGGGGGUAUUUGUAUUCCAUUGUCAGAGGUGAAAUUCUUGGAUUUUUGGAAGACGAACUACUGCGAAAGCAUUUACCAAGGAUGUUUUCAUUAAUCAAGAACGAAA